ensembl:lncRNA
CGCCCCUUGAUAAUAUUUAUAAUUCACUUGUUGCAUAUUGGUUUCAUAUAUCAUUUUUCUCAAUUAGGAAAUGAAAGAUGAUUAGUUUCCCCUUUGGAUUAUUUAGCCUAUAAAAUUUUCUGUUACACCAUUUGCUUUACAUUGAAAAUGCAUCCUAAAUCCUGAACCACAUUGGAAUUCUUUAUGACCUUUCCCUUGGUGGUACCUUUUGAAGUCCUGAAAUGUUUUUAUAUUUGAUUGAAAUUUAAUCUGGGUUUCAUUUUACUUUUUAAAACAUAUUGAGCAAGUUAAUUUUCUCUUCGAGUUCCUAAGGGGAAUGAUUCUAGCCCUCUGUGUCCCAAGAAUUCAGACUGAGCCUUGCCAGAACAUUCCUGUGGUUUUCCACAGGGCAGAUCACUGUGUUCAUGAAAUUUUAGUUGUAGCUUGUGUUUUCUGCGGUUAAUUAAAACAUCUGGCUCUUUCAUUUUCCACGAACAGAAUAUAAUCGCUUGGCUGAACAUUUUCAAUAACGAUUAAAUGCCUCAGUCCUCCUUUAGGAUAGCCCAAACUUGUCUUUCGGACACCUUAUACGCUGUUGUCUCUGUUCAUUAAUGAUUUUAAACAGUUGGAAAACAUUUGGGGUUAUCCUGCCAAAUGUAGACUCUUGAGAGGGAGAAGGGGAGAGAGAGAGAGAGAGAGUUUGUGAAUACGAAUCCCUCUAAUGGCCUGGCUUUUCCAGAGAGAUAGAUAGAGAGAGAGAGAGUUUGUGAAUACAGAUCUCUCCAGUGGCUCUGGCUUUUCCAGAAAGAGAGAGAGAGAGUGAGUUUGUGAAUAUGAAUCCCUCCAAUGGCUCUGGCUUUUCCCCUGCAGGUCGGAGCUGCUGUGGGUGCGCUGCUGUGGUCUGUGGCCAAGCAUGCUGCUGUGGCCGGAUCUGCCCAGCUGUGGAACAGAGACAUUUGCCGGAUGGAAAAUCCAUAAAAGAAAGCUCCUGUGAAAGCCGGAGACAGACGCUAAGUAAAAUCAGAAACUGAAUGAAGAGUGAGAUGAAGUGAAGGUCCUUCUCUUACCACUUUCUGUGAUGUGAUGUACACCAGCUUUUACUGAUGUGGAGAGGCCCCAGCCCAGCGGAACAGAGGCAGCCCCCUCGGAGACGGCAUGACUCUAUGCAUGGCUGUCUGUCCUGGGGUUGGACCAUGGAUGUGAGAUGCCUUGGUUUCCAGCCACGUCUGCUUUCUCAGGAAACUCUCCCUGGCAGCUUGGAAUUUAACUGAAGCCCAGUUUCAUCCCUGGUUUUCACCGUCAGUCCGAAGGCUGCUGUUACUUACAGUGGGAGCGGGCAAACAAAAUUCUUCAAGGAGCAGAGCACGGGAGGUCUUUCAAAGAACUUUAGAAUUUUUCACUUUACCUUUUGAUAGAUCUGUUUUCAAAAGGGGCAGGGCAAGUGGAGUCUGUAAUUAAUUAGGUGACAGUGAGUUUUGUUUGGUUUUGUUCCAUGUCUCCUAGGCUUGGAGAAGAUGAGGGGUGUAAAUGUGGAGAACCUUCUUUUUGAAUUCUUUCUUGAUCAGGGACACCCGACAUCAGGAUGUUCAAAACAUCCACACACCUGAAGUGAAGUGUUCCUGUUCUCUUCUGCGUAUCUAGGGUCAAAGAGACAUGUUUGAUGUUAAAAUUACACCUCUUUCCUACGUUUGGUUGACUCUUCUAAGAGAUAGUAUGAAGAAUGCUUCUUCAAAUUCCUUGUUUUCAUAUAUUGCUAUUAUGUAAGAGAGAUGAGACUGUCGUGAUUAUUGAGUGAAAUUUAAAAUCUGCUGCAAGUCAUGAAAUAACAUGUUUUUACCUAUUUUAUCUCUUUAAAAAAUUCUAUUUAAAAAAUUUUUUUU